GAACGCUGGCGGCGUGCCUAAUACAUGCAAGUCGAGCGGAAUGAUGAAGAAGCUUGCUUCUUCUGAUUUUAGCGGCGGACGGGUGAGUAACACGUGGGCAACCUACCUUGUAGAUUGGGAUAACUCCGGGAAACCGGGGCUAAUACCGAAUAAUCCAUUUUGCUUCAUGGCGAGAUGUUGAAAGACGGUUUCGGCUGUCACUACAAGAUGGGCCCGCGGCGCAUUAGCUAGUUGGUAGGGUAAUGGCCUACCAAGGCGACGAUGCGUAGCCGACCUGAGAGGGUGAUCGGCCACACUGGGACUGAGACACGGCCCAGACUCCUACGGGAGGCAGCAGUAGGGAAUCUUCCACAAUGGACGAAAGUCUGAUGGAGCAACGCCGCGUGAGUGAAGAAGGUUUUCGGAUCGUAAAACUCUGUUGUAAGGGAAGAACACGUACGAGAGUAACUGCUCGUACCUUGACGGUACCUUAUUAGAAAGCCACGGCUAACUACGUG
rnacentral:rRNA from 1 species